UGGGGAAUAUUGCACAAUGGGCGAAAGCCUGAUGCAGCAACGCCGCGUGAGUGAUGAAGGCCUUCGGGUUGUAAAGCUCUGUCUUUUGGGACGAUAAUGACGGUACCAAAGGAGGAAGCCACGGCUAACUACGUGCCAGCAGCCGCGGUAAUACGUAGGUGGCAAGCGUUGUCCGGAUUUACUGGGCGUAAAGGAUGCGUAGGCGGAUUUUUAAGUGAGAUGUGAAAACCCUAAGCUUAACUUGGGGACUGCAUUUCAUACUGGAAAAUCUAGAGUGCGGGAGAGGAGAAUGGAAUUCCUAGUGUAGCGGUGAAAUGCGUAGAGAUUAGGAAGAACACCAGUGGCGAAGGCGAUUCUCUGGACCGUAACUGACGCUGAGGCAUGAAAGCGUGGGUAGCAAACAGGAUUAGAUACCCUGGUAGUCCACGCCGUAAACGAUGAGUACUAGGUGUAGGAGGUAUCGACCCCUUCUGUGCCGCAGUUAACACAAUAAGUACUCCGCCUGGGAAGUACGAUCGCAAGAUUAAAACUCAAAUGAAUUGACGGGGUCAUAGCUGUUUUCCU
rnacentral:rRNA from 1 species